ACCGGGGGAACUGAAACAUCUAAGUACCCCGAGGAAAAGAAAUCAACCGAGAUUCCCCCAGUAGCGGCGAGCGAACGGGGAGGAGCCCAGAGCCUGAAUCAGUGUGUGUGUUAGUGGAAGCGUCUGGAAAGGCGUGCGAUACAGGGUGACAGCCCCGUACACAAAAAUGCACAUAUUGUGAGCUCGAUGAGUAGGGCGGGACACGUGGUAUCCUGUCUGAAUAUGGGGGGACCAUCCUCCAAGGCUAAAUACUCCUGACUGACCGAUAGUGAACCAGUACCGUGAGGGAAAGGCGAAAAGAACCCCGGCGAGGGGAGUGAAAAAGAACCUGAAACCGUGUACGUACAAGCAGUGGGAGCCUCUUAAUGGGGUGACUGCGUACCUUUUGUAUAAUGGGUCAGCGACUUAUAUUCUGUAGCAAGGUUAACCGAAUAGGGGAGCCGAAGGGAAACCGAGUCUUAACUGGGCGUUAAGUUGCAGGGUAUAGACCCGAAACCCGGUGAUCUAGCCAUGGGCAGGUUGAAGGUUGGGUAACACUAACUGGAGGACCGAACCGACUAAUGUUGAAAAAUUAGCGGAUGACUUGUGGCUGGGGGUGAAAGGCCAAUCAAACCGGGAGAUAGCUGGUUCUCCCCGAAAGCUAUUUAGGUAGCGCCUCGUGAAUUCAUCUCCGGGGGUAGAGCACUGUUUCGGCAAGGGGGUCAUCCCGACUUACCAACCCGAUGCAAACUGCGAAUACCGGAGAAUGUUAUCACGGGAGACACACGGCGGGUGCUAACGUCCGUCGUGAAGAGGGAAACAACCCAGACCGCCAGCUAAGGUCCCAAAGUCAUGGUUAAGUGGGAAACGAUGUGGGAAGGCCCAGACAGCCAGGAUGUUGGCUUAGAAGCAGCCAUCAUUUAAAGAAAGCGUAAUAGCUCACUGGUCGAGUCGGCCUGCGCGGAAGAUGUAACGGGGCUAAACCAUG
rnacentral:rRNA from 1 species